UCAUUUCCUCCAGAAUCCUUCCUGAGUGUCCCUGAUGAGCCCCUCAGGAGGGAGCUGUUCAAACCCACCUCCUCUUCUUCAUAUCCCACCCAACUGAAGACCACUCUGCUUUUCUGGAUGUUCAAUGACUUUGAGCUGCUGCGCCUGUGUGUGGAGAUGCCUGCUGCAAGCUGAUUUGAGUUAACUGAAGGAAAAGGAAAGAAUUGGAGACAGAAGCCAGAGAAUUUCUAUGAUGUGGCUUUUCGUUCCUGGAACUCGCUCUGUAGACCAGGCUGGCCUCAAACUCAGAGAUCUGCCUAUUUCUGCCUCCUGAAUGCUAGGAUUAAAGUUCCUCCUGGUGCUAGGGGUUGGCGCCAGAGCCUCAGCUCGCUCACGCUCGGGAGUCUUUACCACUAUGCCACUCCCAGCACUCUGUGGAGAGAGAAGUGGAAAGGAAGACUUGGAACUUCAAAGAAUGGCAACAAAAGAAGCAAACAAGCCCAAUGCUGUACCUCAAGAGUUGUCCAUAGUUUGCAGCUAUCAACAGGGUAUACAA